rnacentral:rRNA from 1 species
UGGUUCUUCGGAACCAGAGACCGGCGCACGGGUGCGUAACGCGUAUGCAAUCUACCUUUUACAGAGGGAUAGCCCAGAGAAAUUUGGAUUAAUACCUCAUAGUAUAAUAGUUCGGCAUCGAACAAUUAUUAAAGUCACAACGGUAAAAGAUGAGCAUGCGUCCCAUUAGCUAGUUGGUAAGGUAACGGCUUACCAAGGCUACGAUGGGUAGGGGUCCUGAGAGGGAGAUCCCCCACACUGGUACUGAGACACGGACCAGACUCCUACGGGAGGCAGCAGUGAGGAAUAUUGGACAAUGGGCGCAAGCCUGAUCCAGCCAUGCCGCGUGCAGGAUGACGGUCCUAUGGAUUGUAAACUGCUUUUGUACGGGAAGAAACCCUCCUACGUGUAGGAGCUUGACGGUACCGUAAGAAUAAGGAUCGGCUAACUCCGUGCCAGCAGCCGCGGUAAUACGGAGGAUCCAAGCGUUAUCCGGAAUCAUUGGGUUUAAAGGGUCCGUAGGCGGUUUAGUAAGUCAGUGGUGAAAGCCCAUCGCUCAAUGGUGGAACGGCCAUUGAUACUGCUAGACUUGAAUUAUUAGGAAGUAACUAGAAUAUGUAGUGUAGCGGUGAAAUGCUUAGAGAUUACAUGGAAUACCAAUUGCGAAGGCAGGUUACUACUAAUGGAUUGACGCUGAUGGACGAAAGCGUGGGUAGCGAACAGGAUUAGAUACCCUGGUAGUCCACGCCGUAAACGAUGGAUACUAGCUGUUGGGAGCGAUCUCAGUGGCUAAGCGAAAGUGAUAAGUAUCCCACCUGGGGAGUACGUUCGCAAGAAUGAAA